rnacentral:rRNA from 1 species
AGUUCGAUCAUGGCUCAGAUUGAACGCUGGUGGAUGCUACAGCAUGCAAGUCGAACGGCAGCAUCGACUUCGGUCUGGUGUGGCGAAUGGCGAACGGGUGAGUAAUGUAUCGAAACGUGCCUAGUAGCGGGGGAUAACUGUUGAAGCGUGAAGCACACCGCAUACGCCCUUCGGGGGAAAGCGGGGGACCUUCGGGCCUCGCACUAUUAGAGCGGCCGAUAUCGGAUUAGCGAAGGUGGGGGUAACGCCACCGCUGGCGACGAUCCGUAGCUGGUUUGAGAGGACGACCAGCCACACUGGACUACCGAGAUUACGGGCCCAGACUCCUACGGGAGGCAGCAGUGGGGAAUUUUGGACAAUGGGGGAAACUCCUUGAUCCAGCCAUCCCGGGCGUGUGCGAUGAAGGCCUUCGGCUAUAAAGCACUUUUUGGAGAGGGAAGAAACGGCACGGGAUAAUACCCCGUGCAACUGACGGUACCUGCAGAAUAAGCACCGGCUAACCGCUUGUGCCAGCAGCCGCGGUACGUAUUACGUAGGGUGCAAGCGUUUAAUCGGAAUUACUUAGCGUAAAGCGUGCGCAGGCGGUUCGGAAAGAAAGAUGUGAAAUCCCAGAGCUUAACUUUGAACUGCAUUUAACCAACAUUAGAGUGUGUCAGGAGGGAGGUGGAAUUCCGCGUGUAGCAGUGAAAUGCGUAGAUAUGCGAGAACACCGAUGCAUAGCGCGCCUCCUGGAUAACACUGACGAUGCACGAAAGCAUGGGGAGCAAACACAACAGGAUUAGAUACCCCGGUAGUCCACGCCCUGAACGAUGUCAACUAGCUGCGCUGGGGCCUCGGGCCUUGGUAGCGCAGCUAACGCGUGAAGUUGACCGCCUAAAGAGGCACGGUCAAAAGAUUAAAACUCAAAGGACCGACGUGUGAAUCUCGUACAGCGGUGGAUGAUGUGGAUUAAUUCGAUGCAACGCGAAAACCUUACCUACCCUUGACAUGUCUGGAAUCCCGAAGAGAUUUGGGAGCGCUCGCAAGAGAACCGGAACACAGGUGCUGCAUGGCUGUCGUCAGCUCGUGUCGUGAGAUGUUGGGUUAAGUCCCGCAACGAGCGCAACCUCCUUGUCAUUAGUUGCUACGAAAGCGCACUCUAAUGAGACUGCCGGUGACAAACCGGAGGAAGGUGGGGAUGACGUCAGGUCCUCAUGGCCCUUAUGGGUAGGAUCCACACGUCACACAAUGGUCGGGACAGAGGGUCGCCAACCCGCGAGGGGGAGCCAAUCCCAGAAACCUUGAUUUGGUCCACAGAUCGCAGUCUGCGAACUUUGACCUGUGCGAGUCAACCGCCAUGGUAAUCGCAGAUCGUGCGCAGACAGCGUUCCUGGUCUCCGGCAUCGCCACGCUAACAGCGGAGUUAUUUUACUGGUGAGGCAGCCUUUCAUAACCCAAGGAGGGCGAUUUCAGGAUUCAUGACUGGGGUGAGGUCGUAACAAGGCAA